UACGUAGGGUGCGAGCGUUAAUCGGAAUUACUGGGCGUAAAGGGCGCGUAGGCGGCGUGUCAAGUCAGGCGUGAAAGCCCCGGGCUCAACCUGGGAACCGCGCUUGAGACUGGCAUGCUCGAGUUCGGGAGAGGAUGGUGGAAUUCCCAGUGUAGAGGUGAAAUUCGUAGAUAUUGGGAAGAACACCGAUGGCGAAGGCAGCCAUCUGGACCGACACUGACGCUGAGGCGCGAAAGCGUGGGGAGCAAACAGG
rnacentral:rRNA from 1 species